UGGGCCCACCGUGGACAUCUUGGGUGGUUUCCCCAUCUCUUUCUUUGCCUGGCCUGUCACUCGUCUCUGCCUCCUCCAGGUGAGCAACCCUGCCACUCGCAUGCUGAAGACUGCAGCCGCCCAGGUGGGGACAUCGGUUUCCUCCGCCACCAACACGUCUACCCGCCCUAUCAUCACAGUGCACAAGUCAGGCACUGUGACAGUGGCCCAGCAAGCCCAGGUGGUGACCACAGUUGUGGGCGGGGUCACCAAGACCAUCACCCUGGUGAAGAGCCCCAUCUCUGUCCCAGGAGGCAGUGCUCUGAUUUCCAAUCUGGGCAAAGUGAUGUCGGUGGUCCAGACCAAACCAGUUCAGACUUCAGCAGUCACAGGCCAGGCGUCCACGGGUCCUGUGACUCAGAUCAUCCAGG
rnacentral:lncRNA from 1 species